rnacentral:rRNA from 1 species
UGCUUGAGAGUGGCGAACGGGUGAGUAAUAUAUCGGAACGUGCCCAGUCGUGGGGGAUAACGUAGAGAAAUUUACGCUAAUACCGCAUACGAUCUACGGAUGAAAGCGGGGGAUUCGCAAGAACCUCGCGCGAUUGGAGCGGCUGAUAUCAGAUUAGGUUGUUGGUGAGGUAAAAGCUCACCAAGCCGACGAUCUGUAGCUGGUUUGAGAGAACGACCAGCCACACUGGGACUGAGACACGGCCCAGACUCCUACGGGAGGCAGCAGUGGGGAAUUUUGGACAAUGGGCGAAAGCCUGAUCCAGCAAUGCCGCGUGUGGGAAGAAGGCCUUCGGGUUGUAAACCACUUUUGUACGGAACGAAACGGUUCGCUUUAAUACAGUGGGCUAAUGACGGUACCGUAAGAAUAAGCACCGGCUAACUACGUGCCAGCAGCCGCGGUAAUACGUAGGGUGCGAGCGUUAAUCGGAAUUACUGGGCGUAAAGCGUGCGCAGGCGGUUAUAUAAGACAGUUGUGAAAUCCCCGGGCUCAACCUGG